GGGCGCGUAGCUCAGUUGGCCAGAGCAUCCGGUUUACACCCGGAAGGUCGCCCGUUCGAGCCGGGCCGCGCCCA
rnacentral:tRNA from 1 species